rnacentral:tRNA from 1 species
GCCCGUCUAGCUCAGUUGGUAGAGCGCAAGGCUCUUACCCUUGUAGUGGUGGGCG